rnacentral:rRNA from 1 species
AGACCCGAAACCCGGUGAUCUAGCCAUGGGCAGGUUGAAGGUUGGGUAACACUAACUGGAGGACCGAACCGACUAAUGUUGAAAAAUUAGCGGAUGACCUGUGGCUGGGGGUGAAAGGCCAAUCAAACCGGGAGAUAGCUGGUUCUCCCCGAAAGCUAUUUAGGUAGCGCCUCGUGAAUUCAUCUCCGGGGGUAGAGCACUGUUUCGGCUAGGGGGUCAUCCCGACUUACCAACCCGAUGCAAACUGCGAAUACCGGAGAAUGUUAUCACGGGAGACACACGGCGGGUGCUAACGUCCGUCGUGAAGAGGGAAACAACCCAGACCGCCAGCUAAGGUCCCAAAGUCAUGGUUAAGUGGGAAACGAUGUGGGAAGGCCCAGACAGCCAGGAUGUUGGCUUAGAAGCAGCCAUCAUUUAAAGAAAGCGUAAUAGCUCACUGGUCGAGUCGGCCUGCGCGGAAGAUGUAACGGGGCUAAACCAUGCACCGAAGCUGCGGCAGCGACACUGUGUGUUGUUGGGUAGGGGAGCGUUCUGUAAGCCUGUGAAGGUGGCCUGUGAGGGUUGCUGGAGGUAUCAGAAGUGCGAAUGCUGACAUAAGUAACGAUAAAGCGGGUGAAAAGCCCGCUCGCCGGAAGACCAAGGGUUCCUGUCCAACGUUAAUCGGGGCAGGGUGAGUCGACCCCUAAGGCGAGGCCGAAAGGCGUAGUCGAUGGGAAACGGGUUAAUAUUCCCGUACUUGGUGUUACUGCGAAGGGGGGACGGAGAAGGCUAUGUUGGCCGGGCGACGGUUGUCCCGGUUUAAGCGUGUAGGUGUGUGUUCCAGGUAAAUCCGGUUCACUUUAACACUGAGGCGUGACGACGAGGCACUACGGUGCUGAAGCAACAAAUGCCCUGCUUCCAGGAAAAGCCUCUAAGCAUCAGGUAACAUCAAAUCGUACCCCAAACCGACACAGGUGGUCAGGUAGAGAAUACCAAGGCGCUUGAGAGAACUCGGGUGAAGGAACUAGGCAAAAUGGUGCCGUAACUUCGGGAGAAGGCACGCUGACACGUAGGUGAAGUGAUUUACUCACGGAGCUGAAGUCAGUCGAAGAUACCAGCUGGCUGCAACUGUUUAUUAAAAACACAGCACUGUGCAAACACGAAAGUGGACGUAUACGGUGUGACGCCUGCCCGGUGCCGGAAGGUUAAUUGAUGGGGUCAGCGCAAGCGAAGCUCCUGAUCGAAGCCCCGGUAAACGGCGGCCGUAACUAUAACGGUCCUAAGGUAGCGAAAUUCCUUGUCGGGUAAGUUCCGACCUGCACGAAUGGCGUAAUGAUGGCCAGGCUGUCUCCACCCGAGACUCAGUGAAAUUGAACUCGCUGUGAAGAUGCAGUGUACCCGCGGCAAGACGGAAAGACCCCGUGAACCUUUACUAUAGCUUGACACUGAACAUUGAGCCUUGAUGUGUAGGAUAGGUGGGAGGCUUUGAAGCGUGGACGCCAGUCUGCGUGGAGCCGACCUUGAAAUACCACCCUUUAAUGUUUGAUGUUCUAACGUGGACCCGUGAUCCGGGUUGCGGACAGUGUCUGGUGGGUAGUUUGACUGGGGCGGUCUCCUCCUAAAGAGUAACGGAGGAGCACGAAGGUUGGCUAAUCCUGGUCGGACAUCAGGAGGUUAGUGCAAUGGCAUAAGCCAGCUUGACUGCGAGCGUGACGGCGCGAGCAGGUGCGAAAGCAGGUCAUAGUGAUCCGGUGGUUCUGAAUGGAAGGGCCAUCGCUCAACGGAUAAAAGGUACUCCGGGGAUAACAGGCUGAUACCGCCCAAGAGUUCAUAUCGACGGCGGUGUUUGGCACCUCGAUGUCGGCUCAUCACAUCCUGGGGCUGAAGUAGGUCCCAAGGGUAUGGCUGUUCGCCAUUUAAAGUGGUACGCGAGCUGGGUUUAGAACGUCGUGAGACAGUUCGGUCCCUAUCUGCCGUGGGCGCUGGAGAACUGAGGGGGGCU